rnacentral:rRNA from 1 species
UACGAAGGGGGCUAGCGUUGUUCGGAAUUACUGGGCGUAAAGGGCGCGUAGGCUGUGCUGUAAGUCAGGCGUGAAAUCCCCGGGCUCAACCUGGGAAUUGCGUUUGAUACUGCGGCGCUGGAAUGCAGGAGAGGAUGGCGGAGUUCCCAGUGUAGAGGUGAAAUUCGUAGAUAUUGGGAAGAACACCGGUGGCGAAGGCGGCCAUCUGGCCUGUAAUUGACGCUGAGGCGCGAAAGCGUGGGGAGCAAACAGG